rnacentral:rRNA from 1 species
GGGGAAUUUUCCGCAAUGGGCGCAAGCCUGACGGAGCAACGCCGCGUGAGGGAGGAAGGCCUGUGGGUUGUAAACCUCUUUUCUCAAGGAAGAACACAAUGACGGUACUUGAGGAAUCAGCAUCGGCUAACUCCGUGCCAGCAGCCGCGGUAAGACGGAGGAUGCAAGCGUUNNNCGGAAUUAUUGGGCGUAAAGCGCCCGUAGGUGGUUAUAAAAGUCUGUUGUUAAAGCCCACAGNNNAACUGUGGAUCGGCAAUGGAAACUGUAUGACUUGAGUGUGGUAGGGGUAGAGGGAAUUCCUAGUGUAGCGGUGAAAUGCGUAGAUAUUAGGAAGAACACCAGUGGCGAAGGCGCUCUACUGGGCCAGAACUGACACUGAUGGACGAAAGCUAGGGGAGCGAAAGGGAUUAGAUACCCCUGUAGUC